UUCGGAUAAUAAAAAUAAAAAUAUUGGGGUUCUAUUGUCGGUGUCGGUGACAAACGACAAUAUAAUUUGAGCUGUGGCUGUGCCGCUGUGCAACCAACUUUAGAAAUUCAUUACUAGAUGUCGCUAGUGUCGCCCAUGUUGUUACAUCGAUAAACGAGGCUAAUUGGGCGAAACAAAUUGUAGCUAAUUAUUACCUAUAUUCCUGUGAUUUCAUUUACCAAAUUGAACUUCAUAACUUAUAUGCAACUGUCAGUCAUUCCAACAAGUUGACUUAGCGCUUAUAGUCACUUUCCAUCCAAUAGACUCAUCAUGCUGUCAAAAGCCUAAAAUUAAAUUUUGAAGCCCACGUAUAGUGGAAUACAAAUCUGCUGAGAUAAGAUCUUUUCUGAAUCUCGCAAUUUUGGUGGUGUACCCUGAAACAGCAUGUUUUUUGUUAUGGCUGUUUCUACUUCUAUUUAGAAGGCAACACAGAUGAGGGAUAGAGUUUUAGAGACAUGAAGAGUGUGAAGUGACCUGACAUGUAUUUACUAGAUCUGCUUGAUGAAAGUCAAAUUCCUUACUAAAUUCAUCACCUGUAUGAUAAAGCAUCAGGAAAUUUAUCUCAACAUGUGGAUUUAUGCUGUUGGUUGCUG